UUACUUCCUUUAGGCUUAAAUUUUUUUCACUAUGGAGAGAUUUCAUUUUAAGUAGGUUUGUUUGAAAGCUAUGAGAAAAUAAUUAUAGUCACCAUGAGAUAGAUUAUUUUAUUGUUCAUGUACUCUGAAAUAGGGCAUUAUAGAGCCACAAAAGUCUGUCUUGUUCUAUAACUAUAUAUUUAUUUACAUUCUAGCAGUUAUAUGAACGUAAUUUGAGCUGGGAAUGCUAAAGGUGUAAUUUAGUGUGUGCCUUGUACCAAGAGCCAAUAUCCUUUUGCUUUUCCCGAUUGUUAUUUGCCGACUGUGUAUGCUGGGGGACUGGUGAAAUGAGAAAUCAAAAGCAGCUUAUAAAUAAGCUGAGUCAUUUUUGCCCGACACCAUAAUCACUGUCCAAAAUUGUGUUUGGAGUCUAAUAAAAUAUCACAUGAUUUUAGGACCCAGCUUCAGAUAAAGACUUCCUGUGAGUUCAGUCAGUAAAAUGACUAUACUAAAAAAUUACUCACAUAUGUUUAUUUUUGGUAAAAUAUUGGAAAAUAAUUGUUACAGAAAAUGGGAACGGCAUCUCACCGUGUACCCCAUUUUGCAAUAUUUUGGAAAGAGUAGUACUCCAUUCACUUAAGGCUUUGGCAACAUAAUUUCUUCAUUGAUUGAUAGUGUACAGGCAUAUCAAUCUCUUGUUUUGGAGGGAAGAAAGAUAUAUACAGGCAGAAUUAUCUAUUUCAUGAAUUGUGAACUAGUUUGAAGUGUGGUCCAAAGGGAUGUUGCCUCAUUAAAGGUCAGAUUUAAUAAAAACUCCAUCUGGUAUGUGUACCAGAAAAACACAGGAGUUGGAUGGAUUUUUUAUUAAAUCAGGCCUUAAACUUGUUAAAUAGUUUUGCAUUUUUAUAAAUUAUAGUCAUGGUUAUAACAUUUCAGUAGCACCAUAAAAGUGCUUGGUUUAGGAAUUUUUUUUUUAAACUGAGAUAGUGUGUAAAUUUCUAGAUGGCUGUAAUAACAUGCAGGCUUUAAGUUACUGAUUUUAUAUAUCAAUAUUUGCAGCUUUCCAAUUAGUUGUGAUUUAUAAUUUAAUGUUUUACUUUUGGAAAAUAAGUGACAUUUAGAAAAUUAAAUAUUACUAUGAGGCUGUAUUGUGGUUUCCUACCCUCCCUCACCUUUCCAUCCCCUCCCACUUCCCUACUCCCGCUGCCCCACACCCUCUUAAUGCACAAGGCAUUAACAUAUGCUCCAGGUUACUUUUUUGGUAUUAAAUUCGGUGUUAGUCAGCAGAAUAAUCAUUUUCUGCACAAUUAUAGUAACUUAGGUCAAGUGUAGUUUUAUAUAGUGGUAGGUCUGAAUCCAUUUUCUUUAACUGUGUUGUUGUUGUAGGAAUUUGCUCGCCCUGAUACAUCGAAUGAUAGAGUUUGUUGUACGUGAAGGGCCAAUGUUUGAAGCUAUGAUUAUGAACAGAGAAAUCAACAAUCCUAUGUUCAGGUUCUUAUUUGAAAACCAGACACCAGCCCAUGUUUACUAUAGGUGGAAGCUUUAUUCUAUUCUGCAGGCAAGUAGAAUCAAUUACUUUGUUAAUUUUGACUCUGAGUAAUUAGACCUUUAUAAUAACUCUAAAUGUUUGUUAGGGAGAUUCUCCAACUAAAUGGCGGACGGAAGAUUUUCGUAUGUUCAAAAAUGGAUCUUUUUGGAGGCCACCACCAUUAAAUCCGUACUUGCAUGGAAUGUCAGAAGAGCAAGAAACAGAAGCUUUUGUAGAGGAACCUAGUAAAAAGGGAGCACUUAAGGAAGAACAGAGGGAUAAAUUGGAAGAAAUCUUGCGGGGAUUAACUCCAAGGAAAAAUGAUAUUGGAGAUGCAAUGGUUUUCUGUCUUAAUAAUGCUGAAGCUGCUGAAGAAAUAGUGGAUUGCAUUACUGAGUCGUUGUCCAUCUUAAAGACACCCCUUCCUAAAAAGAUUGCCAGAUUGUAUUUGGUUUCUGAUGUUUUGUACAACUCUUCAGCCAAAGUUGCUAAUGCUUCAUAUUAUAGAAAAUUUUUUGAGACAAAGUUAUGUCAGAUAUUUUCAGACCUCAAUGCCACCUAUCGUACAAUUCAAGGCCAUUUACAGUCUGAAAACUUUAAGCAACGGGUAAUGACUUGCUUCAGAGCAUGGGAAGAUUGGGCAAUUUAUCCAGAACCAUUUUUGAUCAAACUACAAAAUAUUUUCUUAGGACUUGUAAAUAUUAUUGAAGAAAAGGAAACAGAGGAUGUUCCAGAUGACCUUGAUGGUGCCCCCAUCGAGGAAGAGCUUGAUGGUGCACCUCUGGAAGAUGUAGAUGGAAUUCCUAUUGAUGCUACUCCCAUCGAUGAUCUUGAUGGAGUCCCUAUAAAAAGUCUUGAUGAUGAUCUUGAUGGAGUGCCUUUGGAUGCAACUGAAGACUCAAAGAAGAAUGAGCCUAUAUUUAAAGUUGCCCCAUCAAAAUGGGAAGCUGUGGAUGAAUCUGAAUUGGAAGCACAGGCUGUUACAACUUCUAAAUGGGAAUUAUUUGACCAGCAUGAAGAAUCAGAAGAAGAAGAAAAUCAAAAUCAAGAAGAAGAAAGUGAAGAUGAAGAAGAUACUCAAAGUUCCAAAUCUGAAGAGCAUCAUUUGUACUCUAAUCCAAUCAAAGAAGAAAUGACUGAGUCUAAAUUCUCUAAGUACUCUGAAAUGAGUGAGGAAAAACGAGCCAAACUUCGUGAAAUUGAGCUCAAAGUUAUGAAGUUUCAGGAUGAAUUGGAAUCUGGGAAAAGACCUAAAAAACCAGGCCAGAGUUUUCAGGAGCAAGUAGAACACUACAGAGAUAAACUUCUUCAACGAGAGAAAGAGAAAGAGUUAGAAAGAGAACGAGAAAGAGACAAGAAAGAUAAAGAAAAAUUGGAAUCUCGCUCCAAAGACAAGAAGGAAAAAGAUGAGUGUACUCCGAC
rnacentral:sRNA from 1 species